CCACUGUGUUUUAAGAACGCUACGGUUGUUAGCAGGCAGAUUAGAGCAGCUAUGGAGAUGGAGCUUCUUUUACUGCUGACCAUCUGCCUUCUGAUGUUUAGUGGAAAAACGUUUGGUAAUGAAACCGGUCAUGACAAGAUUAUCAUCAAAGAAGAUGAGGAUGUCAUCCUACCUUGCUCUCUCAAAACAAUUCAUGAAGAUGACAAAUCAAAUUUUGACUGGAAAAUGGAUGACAAGGAUGUAUUAUUAUAUGAGAGUGGCACAGUUAACCCUUCCACUCAACAUGAUCAGUUUAGAGGUCGGGUCUCUCAUUUUCAAAAUGGGGAAAAGUCUGAAAAUGCUUCAAUAAAAAUAAUAAAAACAAAGGUGUCCGACAGUGGACAAUACACCUGCAUUGACAUUAACCAACUUCCUCCAGAGAAACUUAACCAAGUUGUGCUUACUGUAGAAUACAUCUUAAAGGACAGAACAGGAGAAAAGACAACUGGUGCAUAUGCAGAACCAUCAGUCAGAACAGUCAAUGAAAAUGAUGACUGGGCACUGCUGAGGUGUAAAGUUCUUGGUGCUUCUCCUAAACCCAUUGUAGUCCUGUACAACAGCACUGGAAACAAGGUUUCUGAUAAAGAACCGCAGAUCAUUCAAAAUGGCAACCACUAUGAUGUGAUCCUGGAGACCACAGUGACCAAGACAGACAAUUAUACCUGUGUAGCCACACAGGAGGAACUUCAUCAUCAGUCUAAUGACACUACAUUUGUGCAUUUCGGAGAAAAGGACAGAGCAGGAGAAAAAACAAACGGUGAAGGAAAUGGUGAUACCAGAUGGAGUGGUGGGAUCACAUUAGGAAUUAUCAUUGGAGUUGUUAUUGGAGUUCUUAUUGGAGUUCCCUUUGGAAUAGUUUUUAUUCGAUGGCGGAGGUCUAAUGAAGUUGCUAAUAAAAAGAUUCCAGUUAGACGAGAUGACACAACCAACAGCCACUCAACUCCACUACAAAACGGGGCACAAGGAGAUCACUAUGCACAAAAUAACUCAUCAGGUUUGUGAAAUGACCCCAACGGAAACAGAUGACGAGACAACCAGACAACUAAAAGAGGUACCCAAACAGAAGAUGACAAGACCAAUGACGGCAUAAAUGCUCUAAACCGAGCAAGAGAUAAGGAUUCACUUAUAUGUAGAUAUAAAAUAAUGAAAAAAGCUCCCAUUAUUGUAUUCAUGUAUCUGAAUCAAUUUUGUGCACUGUUCUUUGGCUUCUCAGCUACAUUAUUUUAGUUUGUUUUUGUGUUUUACUGAUUUUGUAAUGGGCUGGUAUUACUUUACCAAUUUCCCUUUUUGUAAAUAAUAAAGAUAAAUUGCAGGAAUGUGAA